AAGUUUACACACAAAGUAGGUAUUUCAGGGUCUCCCUGUAAGAGUCUGGGACAGUCGGGCGGAGAUUUGGCCAGAAAUCUAUCCUAAUCCAGCCCUGAAGAGGUAAGUGACCUGCGCAAGGUGACAUUAUCGGCAGAGCCGACACAGAGCGAGAUCUUAGCCAUUUUGGGCGUGGGCUGAGUCAGUUCUGCAGAAAGAGAGGACACCGCACCUGUUCUUGAGAAUGGACUCAUAAUUAGCUGAAGGAAGCCAAUCUUACCCUCCGGACUUCAACCUGAAGUGGUUUUUGCACCUGAAUAUUCUCAUCGGCUUCUGCCACCUGGGCAAUAUCCAGUUCAGGGCUUCAGGGACCAGCAGCAUUUCUGGGAAACUGCCAGAAGGCUUUCAGAACUCAGCAUGAGCACAGCAGCCAGCGUUCAAGGUGGACGAUCUCUGCAUUUUUUCCAGUGCCUGGUGGCUGCUUUUAUAAGGGCACUGUGGUAUAGCAGACAUGACCUGAAGUUUGUGUUCAAACAGCACUAUGAAUGGGAACUGAGGCCUGGUCAUCAGAAACUCUGGAUUCUAGUGGCUUGGUAAAUCACUUUUAUUCCCUUACCAGUAGAAUGAAGACAUUGGAUCAGACGUUUCACCUCCGUCGCCUCCCCCCCAUGCUACGACUCCUGUUUGACGCUUUACUCCAGACACACCUCCCCUGUGACAGCGCAUUCCACGUGAGCCCCCUGGAAGUGGCACUCUUGUCUUGCUUGAAAAGCAAG